CAACACAAUCCACACAAUACCCUAUUGUUUAUAUACAUAAAUUAUGAAAAUCAGACAUUGCUUUUGAAUUGUGGUUCAACAGAAUCAUUUAAAAAAAUAAUAAUUAAUGAGACAGGUCUAGAUUGUCUCAUUAAUUUGCUUCAACCUUUUAAAACAACCUUCAAUCUUUGCUAUCAAAUGAUGUCAAUGAUACUACCUGUCCUCUGUUGAGGAUUAGCAGCGGUCUAAUCCUCAACAGAGGCAAGUGCAUCUUCGAUUACAUCAGAUUGAGAUACUUUGACAUGUGAUCACCAAAACAGGAAUUAAACUGUACUCGAAAGGUCCAGUUUUCAAGUGAAGAAGAUGAUAUGUAUAUCUUCUACCUUCUAUCACUAGAAGAUAUAGUGAUAGUAUAGCAUCCAUACCUGAUGCUUUGUGGAUUUCUGAUGAAAUUUAUACCAAACUAUGCAACCUUAUCAGAACCUCUAAAGACGGUGAGUAGGAAGGGAUAAGCAUGGGAGUGGACAAGUGAAACAGAAAGAUAAAUCCAAGUAACGAAAGAAGGAUUGGUGUGUGAGUCAUGCCUAUCCUCCUUUCACCUAGAUGCACCAACAGUUGUAAUUAGUGAUGCUAGUCCAGUAGGAUUAGGUGCAAUUUUGCUACAGAUCCAAUCAGAUGGACAGAACAAACCAGUAACCUGCAAGCCAUUCAUGGACCCCAACAGAAUGUUGCUAUUCUUAGACAGAACACAGGGAUUUAGGAUGCGUAUGUACUGUGGAACAUUUUAGAACGAAUUUGUAGAGAGCUAAGUUUACUCUUCAAACUGACUCUGCUCUGCAAACCUCCCCCGCAGCCCUCUUAUGGUCAGUUUUAGCAAAUAAACUUGGUUUGAGACAGCAAUUCUAUGAUUAUAGAAUAGAACACAUAGUCGGAAUGUCCAACGUAACAUAUUCAUUUCACAAUUUACUUUACCAGAGUCAAAGAACAACGAGUAUGUGAAAAUGUAUGUGGGCAUAGUGCAAGCCAUGAGCUUUUAGGACAUAAAGCAGAAAAUGACAGAGGAUGACAUAAUGAAGCAACUGAAAACAGGAAAAUGGACAAACCCAAUUUGGUCAGAGUUGCAGCCAUAUGUGCUGAACUGGGGAGUUCAGCACAUAUGUUGGACUUGUGCUGAGAGGACACAGCAUGGUACUUCAAAGAGCAAGGGUGAAGGAAGCACUGUAAAGCUGACAUGAGACUCAUGUGGGGGAGAGGGACAGUAUCUGAGGAGCAAAUUUUACUGGCCCACUAUGGACUUUGAUGUAGAGAAACUGAUCAGAAACUGUUCAACUUGUGUGCUCAAUCAGCUUCUUCAUGAAGAUCAACGCUUGGCGUUGAUCUUCAUGAAGAACUACCACCAAGACCAUGGACAAAGAUAGGUAGAUCUAGUAGGCCCUAUCCACAACCAAUAUGUGUUAACUAGACUGGUGUGGACAUGUCCCCACCAACUUUGGCCUGACGGGGACAGACCCCACUAAUAUUUCAUGCCCCUUUUUUUCCUUUAUGUGUCUGCAUCUAUGUAACUCGGCAGCAGCUGCAUGCUGUUCAAAGCAUAAACAGCCAGUUAAUGCUUUUUAAAAUUCCUUUGUAAAACGUAACUGGCAAGUCCGCUCAGUGAUUUAGUGGGUUGGACAUCACGUGGCUUGCUGUGUGCGGCAGUGUGCCACAUGCAACACCACAUCCUUUGCAUUGAGUCAGGAAUAUCAGUGGCCGGGAAAAUGACACAAUCAAGCAAAGAAUAUGAAAAAGGGACGCAAAAUUUUGAUAUUGUCAAUACUACGACAGCAAGAUAAGGUCCAAGGGGUUCACAUUUCACAGGUCAGUAAAAAGCUUUAAUCAAAAAAUAUAUAUAUUAAGAAAGUGAAAAGUAGGUUAGUUAUGCUAGCUUAACUUUUAUCACCUGAACAUGUACUCUUGCUGAACGAUUUUGUACAGAACUACAAAAUACUCUUCAAAUAAAUAAAGCCAAUGCUGUACACAAUUUCAUUAAAAAAUAUAAAAUUAAUUAAGUACUGCAUUGCCCAUUGCAAAAAAUCACUAAGCAUAAUAUUUUGCAUUGUAAAUUGCCUUCUGAAUUAAGCAAUAUUAAUUCAUUGCUGAUGAUACAAGUCUGCCCCCUUAUAGCUGGUUAAAAAAAAAAUUUAAUAGUCUUUACUGUUUUCUUUAGAGGCUGGUUCUAGACCAAAUUUACCAUGUAGUCUGUGUUUUUAUGGAGACAGUUAAAAAGGAAUUAAACAAAAAUGGAGCAAUAUUUCAUAAUUUAAUAUUGUGAGCCAAAGAGCCACUUGUGUCUCCAGAGAGUCAGGUUGCAGAUCCCUUUCCCAUCUCUAGCAGAUGGAAAGUGUGGUAAUAUCUCCAUACAGCACUUAAAAGAGCAGUACUAUAAUUUUUAAUUCAUUAAAUUAAUUUUUAUUAAAAAUAAUUUUAAUGUCUUUUUAAUAAGACCUUAAAAAUAAAAUUGUGAAGGUUGAAAAAGAAUAUUUUAAAAAGACAUUUAUUUAGUAUAAUUUCUUUAGAACCCUUCUUGGCCCCCGUCUAAAACCGCCCCUGGCCUGCAAGUCUGGGUCUGGUGCAUUUUUGCUUAGCAUGUUUUUUCUUCAUUGAUAAGAUGUCAGAUUAUCCAAAAUGGUAAACCACGUUAAUAAAAUAUUAGUGAAGUAAUACAUUAAAUCAGUGUCAGGCCGUGGAAAUUAUCCAAUUUCACCUAAUUUUUCUAAAAAGAUUUUUUGAAAACUAAUUUAUUAUCUGCAAAUAAUAUGCCAUUUUCGAGUGUCUGUGCUGUAGUAGUCACUAGCGGCGAAAUCAUGUAAUUUCCUUAUCACUAGAUGGCAGUAGGUACAUAGCAUUGUACGUUAAAACAAGAGAAUAGACCUUUUUCACGACAACCGGAAGCUGCAUCUGAAAGGGCUGGGGCACUUCCUGUUUUGGUGACUGUAAUUCAAGUACAAUGAAAAAUGUUUCUCCUCCUCCGGUCCUUUUCAUCAGCCUUACUUAAUUUGCUAGCACUUUCUUUCGCUGAUGCGGAGGAAAUCGCAGCGGCGAAUUCACCCACUAACAAAUGUGUGAAAGGAAACAAGUUCUUCCACGAAGAAUAUAUCCACAGCUAUCAAGGUAAGAAAAGACGUAGCUUAGCGAGCUAACCGAUAGCUACAAUAUAUGAACUACACAAACAUCGUAAUGAAGCCUAACUUAGUUUGCUAAUUUACGUGAAAUAUUGGAGACAGACGUAGUUUAAACUUUUCAAAUAUAUUUUGACAUUCUGAAAUGUAUUUGCCAGUACAGUUUGUGAAAAACAGCAUGCUAGAACUUAGCUAUGAGAUACUAGAUGACGCUUAAUGUUGAAACUAUGCUUUACUUCUGCAUGCCUGUAGUGUCAAAUAUUGUCGAGGGACAGGUAGUUGUCAGAGCUAGAUGCUUCAGAUCCACGAAGAAAAAUGAGGAACCGCGCUAGCUGCAGGUUUGAAACAGUCAGAAACCGGUUGGCUCUUGUUCGUUCGAGUUCCUGUUCAUAUUUGACAGCUGAAGAACUUUUCCUCACGACUUCUGGACUCAGAGCUUAUUCUAACAUCUUCCUGUUCAGUGGUUACUAUUUGUUUUCUGUUUCUGUUGCAACAUAGUCUGUGUUUUUUUUCUGCUGUUGUUGAACCUUACCUUCAAACUAGAAUCUAUUACUUGUUUAAAGCUAAACAUGCUAUAUGUAUUGAUGUAUAUGUGUUGCUAAAACACUUGUCUAUUUUAAAUAUCACUGGGUGUUGGAAAAGAAAAGGCUGAAUUAUUGGAUUAUUCCUGUAGCUGUGCAGGUGGUAAAGGAUUUUGCAAUCAUGUAGUUGCACUUCUUUACCAGACUGCACACUACUGCCAAUUCCAGCUGCCAACUGUUCCUCCUGCACAAGUGAUUUACAAAAAUGGCACAGACCAAGAACACAGGUAAGAAAAACACAGAGGAACACUGUCCUAUGGUAUGUGAUAUCCACAUACACUAAAUUACAUAUACUGUCAUAUAUAUGAUCUUAAAAUAACAGUACUAUAGUUAUGUACACAAUUUAUUCCUCCUUUGAUUGUGUCGUGCAGCCAUUUAGGUUCCUUUCCCACUUGUAUUUUAUAAGUGCCGUAUAAAAUUUGUUGUAAUCUCAAUAUUACUUGUGUCAAAUAUAAUUUCUCUCAUGAUUUGUUUCUGAAAUGUCUUUUUUUUGUAGGCAGUGAAAAAAAUACAGGCUCAACUGCUGUCAAUUAGUUUUAUUUGCAAGUUGGGUAAAAAUCUAAACUGUGCCAAAUCAUUAUGUCCUAACAAAUUGCUCACCCAUCCCUUUAUUUGUUCUUUAGUUUGACAUAUCUUUCUGUGUAUUUCUUGUGAUACAUCCUAAACCUGUCAGCGACGUGGUGGUGCGGAAGCCCAAAACUAUGGUGAAAAGAUAUCUGCACUCCACACUUUACAGAGCUUACACAGGACCACUUCCAGUUCCCGACAUUCUGG